GACAGAGGUGCCGAGCGUUAGGCGGAAUCACUGGGCUUAAAGCGUGUGUAGGCGGACUUCUAAGUACCUUGUGAAAUCCCACGGCUCAACCGUGGAACUGCUUGGUAUACUGGUUGUCUUGAGCCACUUAGGGGCAGUCGGAACAGACGGUGGAGCGGUGAAAUGCGUAGAUAUCGGGAGGAACACCAGUGGCGAAGGCGGUUGCCUGGAGCUUUGCUGACGCUGAGGCGCGAAAGCGUGGGGAGCGAUCCGG
rnacentral:rRNA from 1 species